GAUGAACGCUGGCGGCGUGCCUAAUACAUGCAAGUCGAGCGAACAGACGAGGAGCUUGCUCCUCUGACGUUAGCGGCGGACGGGUGAGUAACACGUGGAUAACCUACCUAUAAGACUGGGAUAACUUCGGGAAACCGGAGCUAAUACCGGAUAAUAUAUUGAACCGCAUGGUUCAAUAGUGAAAGACGGUUUUGCUGUCACUUAUAGAUGGAUCCGCGCCGCAUUAGCUAGUUGGUAAGGUAACGGCUUACCAAGGCAACGAUGCGUAGCCGACCUGAGAGGGUGAUCGGCCACCCUGGAACUGAGAACCGGUCCAGACUCCUACGGGAGGCAGCAGUAGGGAAUCUUCCGCAAUGGGCGAAAGCCUGACGGAGCAACGCCGCGUGAGUGAUGAAGGUCUUCGGAUCGUAAAACUCUGUUAUUAUGGAAGAACAAAUGUGUAAGUAACUAUGCACGUCUUGACGGUACCUAAUCAGAAAGCCACGGCUAACUACGUG
rnacentral:rRNA from 1 species